UCUCCGUUGGUGAGCCAGCGGAGGGAUCAUUACAGGAUCGAAAGACUCCUAUAACCCCUGUGAACUUACUACAAAUACGUUGCUUCGGCGGGUGCCCCGGGUCUCCCGGGGCGUUCAGCCCGCCGGCAGCCUUCAAAUUCUGUUUCUUUGCGUUGGCAUCUCGAGUAUACAAAAAUAAGUUAAAACUUUCAACAACGGAUCUCUUGGUUCUGGCAUCUAUGAAGAACGCAGC
rnacentral:misc_RNA from 1 species